UCUUCCGUGUACUUCCCACCACGUGACUCCAGGUAUGUGUAAUGUGACCUACACGAGCCUAUCUGGUAGAGUUAGGGGCAAUAUGCCCAGCGACAGCAGCGGGUCCACCUGUUACUACCGGAUAGUGAACAAUUUGUAUA